ACUUUUUUGGAAUCUGGCAUGUACUGUAUAUUAGAUUGUAAGCUCUGAGGAGCAGGUUGUCUCUUUCUUUCCAGGGUCAGCUCUCCGGAGCUUUAUAUUACAUACAUAUAUACAGCAAUAUGCAGCAGGACAGAUGUAAUUCAGGGAGAAAUCCGAUCGCCACAUCUGGGGUCAGGAAGGAAUUUUUUCCCCC